UACGUAGGUGGCAAGCGUUGUCCGGAUUUACUGGGCGUAAAGAGCGCGCAGGCGGUCGUUCAAGUCGCGUGUGAAAGCCCCCGGCUCAACUGGGGAGGGUCACGCGAUACUGAUCGACUCGAAGGCAGGAGAGGGAUGCGGAAUUCCAGGUGUAGCGGUGAAAUGCGUAGAUAUCUGGAGGAACACCGGUGGCGAAGGCGGCAUCCUGGACCAAUACUGACGCUGAGGAGCGAAAGCCAGGGGAGCAAACGGG
rnacentral:rRNA from 1 species